AUUAAUCCUUUUUAUGGAUGAAAUGUCGGCAAUUUAUCAAAAUAAUGAAACAAUUUGGCAGCUACUUUUAAUCAGAUGGCUUGUUACUCAUGACUUACAUCCUAUCAACUUAUCUAGGUGUGACGAUUUUUUUUGUUGAGCAUCCGUGUAUUUGUAGCCUUCUCAGUUUGUUCCUGCGUUUCCUUUGGUCGGUCUCCGCGCUGUUAUAUUGUUAUGAGACGUGUAGCUCCAAAAUGAUACAAAAAAGUGUCAAUAAAUACGUUGUCUUAUUUUCUGUGCACAGUGACAAUAGAUAUCUUUUUUGGCCUGAAGUAUUCCUUACAAGUUUAAGCACACUUGAUCCGUACGUGCAGCGUAUCUUUAACAGUAAUAGGAAUAAAACAUACAAAGAGAGAGAAGAAUCUAUGGAUGCUCAUGAUAUUAUCGGGGAUGUUAUCGAGUGUACGCCACGAUUUCAACUGUGGGUGGAGUACCCGAGAGAGAACAUCGUAGACUUCGGCAACAUCAUCAACCCUCGAGCUUGCUCAUCGACACCAUCAGUGGUCCAUUGGCCGGUACAAAAAGACGUGUACUAUAUAUUAUCAUUAGUUGGUGCGGAUUACCCGUCGCGAGAGCGAAGAACAGAAUACACAGAAUGGAACCAUUGGUUGAUCGUUAACAUCCAGGGAAAUAAUUGGGCAGAUGGAGAAGUUCUGGCAGAGUACAUUGGACCCCAUUUAUUAAAAGGCAAAGGUUUCCAUCGGUACGUGUUUUUGGUUUACCAACAACCGACUGGAAAAAUAAAAUUUGACGAGCCUCGUUUAAAUAAAACAUAUGGUAAGAAGAUUCGAAGGAAUUUUUGUAUCCGAGAAUUCGCCGUUAAAUAUGAUCUGGAGUCUCCCAUCGCAGGAAAUUGGUUCUUCACUCCGUGAUGUGAUUAUUUAAGCUUGUAAAGGUAUGAGUUAGAAUGAUGGGAAUGGCAUCUUCUACGGAUAAUCGUACUCAUUGAAAUAAAAUCUGAAGAUGAGUUUUCUCAGAAUUUUUUGGACAGCCACUUUUCUGCCUGGAGUGCUCCUUUUAGAGUUAAACACCUUGGAUCCAUUCAUAAAACACGUUCUAGACAGACAAAAGAAUAAAACAUACGAGGAGCGUGAAACAUCUAUGACUGUAAAUGACAUCGUCGGAGAUGUUAUUGAGUGUACGCCGCAAUUUGGACUGAGGGUAGCGUAUUUUAGUGAGAACAUUGUUGACUACGGCAACAUCAUCGACUCCACAGACUGUCUCUCGCCACCGGUCGUGGUUGAGUGGCCUGCUGAAAAAGACGCGUACUAUACGCUAUCAUUAGUUG